CAAACUACUGUGACCAAAUCUGGACUGUAUCGCUGUGUCUCCACACAGAAGGGAAUCUGGCAUCAGAUUUCUACUGAGACCUUUGUGAACAAAGAGCCGGAGGGAGCAGCCCAAGGGUAUUCUGGAUUGUGGGUUGCUGCUGCUGUGAUUUUUGGUCUUCUGUUCCUUUGUGUUGUUAUUGUUGUUUUUGUCAGAAGGUGCCGCUAAUCUGUUUUAAGGUAGGUACUUAAUGUAUCAAAAUGGUUAAAACACAGAAAAGCAACCAAUUCUGUUGAUUUUUUUUUUCUUCCUGCCAAAUAAACUCUUUUGGGAAAAAACCCAACAUGAACUAACUACUUUUAAUGAGAAAGUAAAUGACCUUUGACCAGACCCCUGUUCCAAUUAACAUUCUAAAAAUCUCAGUACUACCUAUAAACAUUUUUUUGUUGAAACACUCAUGCUACUGUAGCCAAAAAAAGAAAAAAAAAAAACUUUCAGAAAAAAAUAACUGAAUAUAUUGCCCUUCACAAAUAUUCUUAGAGUAAUGAAUGCCUUGGACCCAGGUUUCUCAGUUUUUUAGAGUUUAUGAUUCCUUUUGGUUGAAAAAAUGAUUUAUCUUCAGGCUGUAAUUUUUUUAGUCUGAGUUAUGGCAUUAGUUCCUUGUACUUAUGGUUUUUGUAAUCUAUGCUGACCCACAGCCCUACCUUCUAAUUAUUCAAGUCGUUCCAUUAAAACUAGCACAAGUGUUUAUUUAACUGAAUGUCUGUGAAGGUUCUCAGUCAUCCAGGUCGUGGCAAUUUAAGGAGCUAGGAAAGAAAAGCGUCUGGACUUGUUGAAGUUUCUUCAUUCACCUCUCAUCCAAGAAGCUUCUUCAGUUCUAAGAGCAACCGGUGGAGAGUCUCAGAUUUUUGAGUCCUGGGAGUGGCCCUAAGAGGGUCGUGGACGCACUAUUGAUCCUCUGCCUAAUCACACUAGCCAAGGUGUGAAAACAGGUGUGGGCAGUAUAAUGUCCUCAUAAGUGGAUAUCAGGCCCUUGAAGAGGUAUUUUGGUCUAGACGUCCCAAAAUGUGAUGUCCACAUAUGUGGACGCCAGGUCCUAGGAGGUUAAGGAUGCCAAUAUUCACAUGUUGGACAGAGAAGACAGAUGGUUUGAAAGAAGAGUGAAAGAAGCAUCUAUAUCCACUGUGAGCGACCAUCUUUGAACAGAGGCGGUGGUUUACAACACCAACUGUCUGCCA